rnacentral:tRNA from 1 species
CACUAAGAAGCUAUAGGACCCAGCAACAGCCUUUUAAUCUGUAGAUAGGUGACUUCCAACCACCCUUAGUGA